GGAUUAGAUACCCUGGUAGUCCACGCCGUAAACGAUGAGAACUAGGCGUUGGGGGUUUCCCUUAGUGCCGCAGCUAACGCGAUAAGUUCUCCGCCUGGGGAGUACGGCCGCAAGGUUAAAACUCAAAGGAAUUGACGGGGGCCCGCACAAGCGGUGGAGCAUGUGGUUUAAUUCGAUGCAACGCGAAAAACCUUACCUAUCCUUGACAUCCUGGGAAUUCUCUAGAAGUAGAGAAGUGCCUUCGGGAACCCAGUGACAGGUGCUGCAUGGCUGUCGUCAGCUCGUGCCG
rnacentral:rRNA from 1 species